rnacentral:rRNA from 1 species
GACGAACGCUGGCGGCGUGCUUAACACAUGCAAGUCGAACGCUGAAGCUCAGCUUUUGUUGGGUGGAUGAGUGGCGAACGGGUGAGUAACACGUGAGUAACCUGCCCCCUUCUUUGGGAUAACGCCCGGAAACGGGUGCUAAUACUGGAUAUUCACUGGUCUUCGCAUGGGGGUUGGUGGAAAGGGUUUUUCUGGUGGGGGAUGGGCUCGCGGCCUAUCAGCUUGUCGGUGGGGUGAUGGCCUACCAAGGCUUUGACGGGUAGCCGGCCUGAGAGGGUGACCGGUCACAUUGGGACUGAGAUACGGCCCAGACUCCUACGGGAGGCAGCAGUGGGGAAUAUUGCACAAUGGGCGCAAGCCUGAUGCAGCGACGCCGCGUGAGGGAUGGAGGCCUUCGGGUUGUGAACCUCUUUCGCUCAUGGUCAAGCCGCAACAAUGGUUGUGGUGAGGGUAGUGGGUAAAGAAGCGCCGGCUAACUACGUG